rnacentral:lncRNA from 1 species
UGAAGAAGCUAUCAUGAGAGGAUUUUUUUUCCUCUUCUCAAAGUAUAUGUGAAGCCCGUCUGUGAAAGAGUCUGUGAAAUGCUCUAUUUUGUCUUCAUAUUUGUGUUCAUUCUAACAGACAUAUGUAAAUCAGAGAAGGGUGAGACUUUAGUCUGUCGCUAUGAUCCUGAAUUUGCAAGCUUGGAGAGAGUCUGGUGCAAAAAAGACUCUGAAGAGUGCUGUACGGGCUUUGCCUUCGGUAAGAAGAUACAGUCCCUUGACAAUGGAAGUGUGGAGAUAACCAACGACACAGCGGCUGCUUUCACAGUCACUGUGCAAAAUCUGACCCAAGGAAGUGGGGUGUACUGGUGUGGCCUGAUGUUUCAGAAUCAAACCAUCAUUAAACUGGCAGAGAAAUCCUUUUCAACUGACUCUCCAUUUUAUGUGUGGAGCCUUCUACGCUGGAUUCUCUUUGCCCUUCUCCUACUGUCAUCCUUCGGUAUUUCUAUGUUCACACGCAAGACAGCCAAGAAGGAAAAGGUUGAUGACUGCGUGUACGAGGAUGUCCCCUUGCGUGCCACCAGAGGCACAGAUGGUCAGGCUGACAUCAUCACUGAGGCAUAA